rnacentral:lncRNA from 1 species
GUCAGAAUGCUUCUGGGAGUCGGGGGGUGGGUGCCUUUCUGUUGCUAGCUUGUAGGAGAAGCUGGGCUGUAGGAAGUUUAUUUGCGGGGGGGUCUUAAAGACGCUGAAAGUACUGGCGGGCUUUGGUGGGGGUCUGGAAAAACCUCUCUGUACCUGUGACCGCGUUGCGUGGCGGGCGCUCCCCGGCCUCUCCUUUUUGACCGGUCCCGGGCGUUGCCCAGCCGCCAGUCCUCCUGCUCGGGUUUUGUAAGCAGGAGAGGGAUGCUUUUUACGUCUUCUUAAAGUACGGUUAAGUGCCCUUGCUUGAAGUAGUUGCUGGCAACAAGAACGUAGGGGUUACUCUUUGUUGGGCCUGAACUCGUGCUUUUUCUCUCAAAAGUUGAGCUUUUGAAAGGCAAAAAAGGCGUGGGGGAUGGGGGAGCUGUCGGUCUUAAGGAAGUUAAAGGUUAUUUCCUAAACAAAACAAGUCUCACUCCUAAAACCAGGGUAGUGGCUCAGUUGUGGCGGGAGAGCAGGGGCUGUAAAGUGUCCAAGUUUCUAGUCUCAUCUUUCAGUAGGAUGGGUACAAGCUUUCCCCUUGGGGCUCUGGGGGCUGGGAGGGUUGUAAAAGUGGGAGAAAGCAAAGUAUUUGGCGGGGUGCGGGCGGGUAGCUGAAUGUUGUUGUAAGUGGAAGAGGAAUGCUGUUGGCGUCUUUCUCUAAGCACGGUUAAGUGCUUUUUCUUGAAGUAGUUACUGGCAACAAGAACGUAAGGGUUACUCUUUGUUAGGCCUGAACUCGUGCUUUUUCUCAAAAGUUUAGCUUUUGAAAGGCAAAAGUGGGGGUGGGGGCGCUGCUGCUUUUAAGGAAGUUAAAGGUUAUUUCCUAAGAAAGCAAAACAAGCCCCACUUGUAAAACCCGGGUAGUGGCUCAGCUGGAGAGCAGGCGCUGUGAAGUGUACAAGUUUCUAGUCUCAUCUUUCAGUAGAAUGGGUACAAGCUUUCCCUCGGGGCUCUGGGGGUGGGAGGGUUGUAAAAGUGGGAGAAAGCAAAGUACGUGGGUGGGGGGUAGCUAAAUGUUGUUGUAAGCGGGAGAUGGAUGCUUUUGGCGUCUUUAAGCACGGUUAACUGCCCUUGAAGUAGUUGCUGGCAACAACGUAGGGGUUACUCUGCUGGGCCUGAACUUGUGCUGUUUCUCUCUCUCAAAAGUUAAGGUUUUUAAAAGGCAAAGGCGUGGGGAGAGGGGUAGGGGAGCUGCUACUUCUAAGGACGUUAAGGGUUACUUCAGAGCAAAACAAGCCCCACUUCUAAAACCAGGGCAGUGGCUCAAUUGUGGAAGGGAGAGCAGGGAAUGUGAAGUGUCCAAGCUUCUAGUCUCGUCUUUCAGUAGCGUGGGUACAAGUUUUCCAUUGGGGCUCUGGGGGCUAGGAGGGUGGUAAAAGUGGGAGAAACCAAAGUACUUGCGGGUAGCUAAAAACUCUGAAACCCACGCUGUGAGCGGUUCCUGCUUCUCUGAAAGGUCUGUUCUGCUUAAGGUUGUAUCAAGGUUAGUCUCUUGCUACCUACUUCUGUAGAGCAGUCUCUCGUGGCUCACCUGGGUUAGUGGCCAUGUUGCCUGUCUCCUAUUCUUCCUAACCUUGUGUGUUCUCCAGGUAGCUGAGUGAUCCAUCCGAAGUAAAAUAUUCCUCAGCUUGUCUGUAGGGGCUCCAAGUUUCAUGAAGUAAAAGCUAGUCUUGAAAACGGCCCAUUAGGGUCCUGGAUGACAGUCUCCGGGUCACUUAGACUCCGUUGUCCGCCUCCCCUCAUCUGUAUCAUCUUUGCCUUGGGUACUGGCUUCGGAGGGUGUUUUCCUGAAACUCUUACCUGAGAUCUACUUGGCUGACUCCUGUGUCCUUCAGAAGUACUUAAUUGCUCAAAUGUUAGUUGAUGAGUGUCACCGGUCUCAUUUUAAAUUGCAACUUCAACCCCUUGCAAACACUGCUUCUCAUUCCCGCGUUCCCUAACUUUAACUCUCAGGAAUAACCCUGACACCUGGAAGAUGCUCCUAGGGAUGACCCCACUCCCCACCCACAACUGUUAAUCAGGAAAUAACGGAUAUGAAAGUAGCUCUGCGAACUGAGGAGCCGUGGAGAAUGUACAAAACAGAUUCCUAAAGUAAGAUACGCAGGCCCGGCUUGUAGGCCGCUGCAUCUGCUUUGAUAACUUAGAACUCAUCAAAUCACCUUGAGACCCUUAAAACAAAUGGUAUAAUUGCAUUCACAGGUAGUGCAUUCGUGUAACAAGAUUAAGAAAACGAAGGACCAACUUCAAGCUCUUGCAAGCUGGUAACCUUUACACUCGUGCAUAAAGCCUUGCUGGAGUUGACACUGAAAACUAAACAGUCGAACUUGAGUAAAACAUAUCCAAACUCCCAGCUGCUGGGCUCUACAGCUUAUUUUUAGCUUGAAAGUUACAUGUUGGAGCUGCAGAGGCUUUAUGGUGGUGGUGGGGGAGCUGUUUGUUCGUAGUCACUUGAGUCUAUAUGAACGUGGCAGGAAAUCUGAAGGAUGUGAAAGGAAAAUGGGAAACACCAGGGUGUUCCAGGAUUUUCCCUGUGGGGCGCGAGCUCAGUUUGGUGUUGUCAGCUGUGGGAGCUUUAACACUUGAACCGUCUUUACUGUGGGUCUAGCCUAUUCGUUGGGCUCCCCUAGUCACCACUCAUGCCUUCGUGUAUCCUGUUGUGUUGGGCCCCCACUGAAUUAAAUAGGGAUGGCACCAUGUUCGAGAAGCCGAGGCGACCCAGAGCCAAUGAACACAUAUGGUGUAUGGAGGGGACUUGAAUACAGAGUGGUCCAGAGCAGCCAGCUGGGACAGAACUGCGCUUCAAAAAGCAGUUGAUACAGAUCAGGUACACCUACACUCCCAAGGUGUGGCUAAGCCGCUAUCAGGUGUCAAGCGUGUAAGGGUCACUGCCAGGAUAUACUUGAGUUGCUUUCAGCUGUCAUAACUCUCUAAUAGGAUGGGGAUCCUGAGGUCUGCAUACACCAGUGGUUCACAUCUCUGAGGACCCAGCUACUUCUCUGGCCCUUUCUGGAACCUGUCUACUUGGAGCUCCGUAGGAAGGGUCUGAAAGGCCCCUUACUCGCACUGAACGACAGCCAGAAUAAGACUAAUUUGCCUUCCCCUUCCCUGCUGAUUUCUCUGGGGUGCUGCUUCCGAUAGUGACCAGCGUCCUUGCAUCUCCAGCUGCACUGACCAGAAAUCUCACCCCCCACUUAGGUUAAAGCCUUCACUAAAUCUAGUUGCUUAGAACCUCUGUAUCAAAUCUUUCUGUAGCCACAGCCCUGCUUUGGUGCUCUUUAACCUGGGUUAUUCUAAUUUCUUCCUGACCAGUUAAUCUGUAUCUGCUUGGAGCCCCUUACUGCAGCCAGAGAAACUUUAAAAGCUUGUUGAGCCUUGGGUAGCCUAGGUUUCUAUCUUGAGACCGAACAUCCUCCCUGGGCUUCUGAGACACUGGCAUGCUGAGGCUCUGCCUGGCUCAAGGAGCAAGUCUCCUGGGUCAUUCUGUUCUGGCACCUGUCUCUGGGUCUUCACUGAUGCCUCAGUUUAAGGCCAAUCCACCCUCAAGCUAUACUCCCAUUUUGUUGCACACUGGUUUGCUUAUGACUAUGGGGUUCAUCAGCGUCUCGACUCUCCCCUUUUUAGGGAUUGAGAGCAGGGACCUUGUUGCUCGAGCACUUGUUGCAGGGGCCCACCCAGACAAUUGGAAACAGAACGCAGGUGUGCCAGAUCUAUGAACACCUGCGUGCUUUUCAGACAGUGGCAAUUCUUCCUUUUGCUGUGUGAGCGAGCAACAUAAGUAUCACCUGAACUUAAUUCUAAAGUGGCAACAAUGUGUUCUUGAAACUUCUAAGCAGCAGCAGCUUAGGAUACUUAACUCUUCGACUACCUUUGGGGUAAACUAGCUCCAAUUGGGUAACUUGGGCAAACCGCUAACUGGCGUCAGGUGCUAAAUGAGCUGUUUAACAGCUUUCCACUCAGGGGAAAACAAGUUUGGAGUGGGUUCUGAACGCUUUAUGUAACGCAAACAGUGGGGGCGUGUGGAUUCCUGGAAUGCACCUUGUCCUCUGAGCACGCUCUGAGUCCUGGCUUCUAGAGCCACAAACUGCAAAUACGUCAGAUGUGUGAGGCCUAUACUGGAAGCUUUGGG